UACUCUAUCUUAUAAGGCAAGAAAAUAUUCAAUGUUUUGUACUAAAAAGAAUGUACUAAGAAGUACAUUCUGAAGAUGUGGGGAUGCAAAUCAAACAACCUCAAAAAUACAGGGCUAGAGAAAACGUUUACAGUUAUCAUACAAUGUGUUUGCUAGAUUUUCAGAUGCUUCCCGUGAUAAUUGGACUCAGAGUUAAGUAGAAACAGCAACCAUGAUUUCAGUGAGCCAGCUCUGAGUAGGAUCCACUGAACAUGCACACAUCUGCCUCUGCCUUGGCAUAGCAAGUGGCUGCAUGCACAGCUGGAUACUUGCAUAUGCAAAUACUGGUUUGUAUGUACAGAUAGCUGCGUGCAGCCCAGAAAUCAGUUCUGACUUGGAGGCCCAUUUCAGCCUCCUCCUGCUGCCCCCACCCCCUUCACCAGAUGGGCACACGCAGAAUAUUCUCCAGGCUGCAACAACAGCAUCAUGAAGGGUCACCACCGACUUCACAGCAUCUUCCAGCAUCCUCACCAACCACAUUGCUUGCCUUGGAGAUGCCACAUAGCAACCUGGGCACCAGACACCCUGUGUCUGCAAACAGGCAUGCACGAGAAAGGCAGUGAGAGCAAAGGAAACUACUUAUUGUCUCCGGUGGGGUGGAGUCGCAGCGGAUCCAGUCCUGUGUCUGCUUUUCAUGCGUGACUGGCAUGAGUCCCACCGCUAAGUCCUUGGCUGACGGCCAUGUGCAGAGUGGCAGGCACCUGUCCCUGCUGGGAGACCUGGCGACCCCGACCUGCCCUAAUGCUCCUUCAGGUGAUCUGUGUCAAUGGGAACUGGUGAAUCUCUGAAAGAAAUCUGUCUGAGCACAGCCAACACCAGAACAGAAGGCAGCAGGUGACAAGGGGGGAAAUAAGAUGCUGCUGUCCUUGAGCCAGUGCUGGUCUGGAGUCGUUGUCCCUGAACAGUGAGGCAGCAGAAAGAAGGGUAAGUCGUUAAAGGAAAGAAAAAGACCUUUUCCCACUAGUUUUGACUUUGUCAAGGACACCAGGAGAUUCCUGUUUUGUUAUAAACUGAAAAUAGAAAAAACACCUAACAGUCAGCCUUUUCAUAGAAAAGAGCCAUACCUUCAUCAGAGCUCUGACCGGUUCAGUCAGUGGCUCCUGUAUCAUCACAUCUCUGCCUAGCCUGUAGGUCACUCUCCUCCUUCUCUUGCCACUCUGGAAUGUACUGGUUUGAAAAACGUGAAAACCCCAUGCCUCUCUCACCAGCUGAAAGCAUAUUUUCUUUCUCAGGAGCACACGUCCAUCCGAGCUCAAAGAUGCAGGUUUAUUUCAGCUGUGGCAUUUGCAGCCCUGUAUGCACA